UACGGAGGGUGCGAGCGUUAAUCGGAAUCACUGGGCGUAAAGCGCGCGUAGGCGGCUUUUCAAGUCAGGGGUGAAAUCCCACGGCCCAACCGUGGAACUGCCUUUGAAACUGUAGAGCUUGAGUGUCGGAGAGGGUGGCGGAAUUCCAGGUGUAGGAGUGAAGUCCGUAGAUAUCUGGAGGAACACCGGUGGCGAAGGCGGCCACCUGGACGACAACUGACGCUGAGGUGCGAAGGCGUGGGUAGCAAACAGG
rnacentral:rRNA from 1 species